AGCAGCCAGCCCGGCCCGCCAGCGCCCGUCCGCAGCCGCCCGCCAGACGCGCCCAGUAUGAGGGAGAUCGUGCACAUCCAGGCCGGCCAGUGCGGCAACCAGAUCGGGGCCAAGAUGAGGACACUGAGACACAGAAUCCUACUGACCUGCGCAAGGUCACACAGCUGGGAAGGGUGAGGGAAGGAUCUGUGAACCCAGCAGGCCCAGCCCCUGAGUCUAGGCUCUGCUCGGCAGCUGUCAUGGGAGCAGAGUCUGAGAAGCACUGCAGGCACCUGCUCUAGGGGGAGAAAGGUGGAGGUGGCAGGUAGAGAGAGGAUGACCCCUGGGAGCUGAGACGAUGCCAGCCUGACACGGACAGGCUGGGUGAUCUCAGGCAAGUCGCUUCCCAUUUGGGACCCCAAGGACCCUUCUGCAGACCCAGCUGGGGGUCCCCGAUGAGACUGGCUCUCAGAGUCCCUAUGAGUCCCAUCAGCUGAGGCCAGUAAUGUCCUGGUACCAUCACUGGACAUGGUUUGCUCUUCCAUGGAGGGGCAGGUGUAGCA
rnacentral:sRNA from 1 species